rnacentral:rRNA from 1 species
AUUGAACGCUGGCGGCAUGCUUUACACAUGCAAGUCGAACGGUAACAGGUUAAGCUGACGAGUGGCGAACGGGUGAGUAAUGCAUCGGAACGUGCCCGAUCGUGGGGGAUAACACUUCGAAAGAAGUGCUAAUACCGCAUACGAUCUGAGGAUGAAAGCGGGGGACCAUAAGGCCUCGCGCGAUCGGAGCGGCCGAUGUCAGAUUAGGUAGUUGGUGGGGUAGAGGCUCACCAAGCCGACGAUCUGUAGCUGGUCUGAGAGGACGACCAGCCACACUGGGACUGAGACACGGCCCAGACUCCUACGGGAGGCAGCAGUGGGGAAUUUUGGACAAUGGGCGCAAGCCUGAUCCAGCAAUGCCGCGUGCAGGAAGAAGGCCUUCGGGUUGUAACUGCUUUUGUACGGAGCGAAAAGGCUCCCUCUAAUACAGGGGGCUUAUGACGGUACCGUAAGAAUAAGCACCGGCUAACUACGUGCCAGCCGCCGCGGUAAUAC